UACAGAGGUGGCAAGCGUUGUUCGGAAUUACUGGGCGUAAAGCGCGUGUAGGCGGCUCUUCAAGUCAGGCGUGAAAGCCCCGGGCUCAACCCGGGAACUGCGCUUGAUACUGUCGAGCUAGAGUGUGGAAGGGGCGAUUGGAAUUCCGUGUGUAGCGGUGAAAUGCGUAGAUAUACGGAGGAACAUCAGAGGCGAAGGCGGAUCGCUGGGCCAACACUGACGCUGAGACGCGAAAGCUAGGGUAGCAAACGGG
rnacentral:rRNA from 1 species